AUUAGAGUUUGAUCAUGGCUCAGGAUGAACGCUGGCGGCGUGCUUAACACAUGCAAGUCGAACGGAGAGCCUAUGACGGAGUUUUCGGACAACGGAUUAGGUUUCUUAGUGGCGGACGGGUGAGUAACGCGUGAGGAACCUGCCUUGGAGAGGGGAAUAACACAGAGAAAUUUGUGCUAAUACCGCAUGAUGCAGUUGAGUCGCAUGGCUCUGACUGCCAAAGAUUUAUCGCUCUGAGAUGGCCUCGCGUCUGAUUAGCUAGUUGGUGGGGUAACGGCCCACCAAGGCGACGAUCAGUAGCCGGACUGAGAGGUUGACCGGCCACAUUGGGACUGAGACACGGUCCAGACUCCUACGGGAGGCAGCAGUGGGGAAUUUUGGACAAUGGGCGCAAGCCUGAUCCAGCAAUGGCCGCGUGCAGGAUGAAGGCCUUCGGGUUGUAAACUGCUUUUGUACAGAACGAAAAGUCUUGGGUUAAUACCCUGGGACCAUGACGGUACUGUAAGAAUAAGCACCGGCUAACUACGUGCCAGCAGCCGCGGUAAUACGUAGGGUGCAAGCGUUAAUCGGAAUUACUGGGCGUAAAGCGUGCGCAGGCGGUUAUGUAAGACAGAGGUGAAAUCCCCCGGGCUCAACCUGGGAACGGCCUUUGUGACUGCAUAGCUAGAGUACGGUAGAGGGGGAUGGAAUUCCGCGUGUAGCAGUGAAAUGCGUAGAUAUCAGGAAGAACACCGAUGGCGAAGGCAGCCGGCUGGGGACUUACCGACGCUGAGGCUCGAAGGCGUGGGCAGCGAACAGGAUUAGAUACCCUGGUAGUCCACGCGGUAAACGAUGCAUACUAGGCGUCCCGGGGCGACCCGGGGUGCCGCAGCCAACGCGUUAAGUAUGCCGCCUGGGGAGUACGUACGCAAGUAUGAAACUCAAAGGAAUUGACGGGGGCCCGCACAAGCGGUGGAGCAUGUGGUUUAAUUCGAAGCAACGCGCAGAACCUUACCAGGGUUUGACAUGGAAUCGCCGCGGCGAGAGAUCGCCGUUUUGCAGCAAUGCAACGGUUCACACAGGUGCUGCAUGGCUGUCGUCAGUUCGUGUCGUGAGAUGUUGGGUUAAGUCCCGCAACGAGCGCAACCCACGUUUCCAGUUGCCGCCCGCGAGGGGGCUCUCUGGAGAGACUGCCGGGGACAACCCGGAGGAAGGUGUGGAUGACGUCAAAUCAGCACGGCCCUUACGUCCGGGGCGACACACGUGUUACAAUGGAGGUCACAGAGGGAAGCCACCCUGCGAGGGGGCGCGGAUCCCGAAAAGCCUCCCCAGUUCGGAUUGGAGUCUGCAACCCGACUCCAUGAAGCUGGAUUCGCUAGUAAUCGCGCAUCAGCCAUGGCGCGGUGAAUACGUUCCCGGGCCUUGUACACACCGCCCGUCAAGCCAUGAAAGCUGGGGGCGCCUGAAGUCCGUGACCGAGAGGAGCGGCCUAGGGCGAAACUGGUAAUUGGGGCUAAGUCGUAACAAGGUAACCAAU
rnacentral:rRNA from 1 species